AGCAGCCGCGGUAAUUCCAGCUCCAAUAGCGUAUAUUAAAGUUGUUGCAGUUAAAAAGCUCGUAGUUGAAUUUCGGGAUUAGUAGGUUGGUCGUGCCUCUGGUAUGUACUCGCCUUACUGGUUUCUCCUUCUUGAAGAACUGUAAUGCCAUUAAUUUGGUGUUGCAGGGACACAGGACUGUUACUUUGAAAAAUUAGAGUGUUUAAAGCAGGCUAACGCUUGAAUACAUUAGCAUGGAAUAAUGAAAUAGGACGAUCGAUCCUAUUUUGUUGGUUUCUAGGAUUGACGUAAUGAUUAAUAGGGAUAGUUGGGGGCAUUAGUAUUCAAUUGUCAGAGGUGAAAUUCUUGGAUUUAUUGAAGACUAACUACUGCGAAAGCAUUUGCCAAGGAUGUUUUCAUUAAUCAAGAACGAAAGUUAGGGGAUCGAAGACGAUCAGAUACCGUCGUAGUCUUAACCAUAAACUAUGCCGACUAGGGA
rnacentral:rRNA from 1 species